rnacentral:rRNA from 1 species
GAUGAACGCUGGCGGCGUGCUUAACACAUGCAAGUCGAACGAAGCACUUUAUUUGAUUUCCUUCGGGACUGAUUAUUUUGUGACUGAGUGGCGGACGGGUGAGUAACGCGUGGGUAACCUGCCUUGUACAGGGGGAUAACAGUUGGAAACGGCUGCUAAUACCGCAUAAGCGCACAGCAUCGCAUGAUGCAGUGUGAAAAACUCCGGUGGUAUAAGAUGGACCCGCGUUGGAUUAGCUAGUUGGUGAGGUAACGGCCCACCAAGGCGACGAUCCAUAGCGGACCUGAGAGGGUGACCGGCCACAUUGAGACUGAGACACGGCCCAAACUCCUACGGGAGGCAGCAGUGGGGAAUAUUGCACAAUGGGCGAAAGCCUGAUGCAGCGACGCCGCGUGAGCGAAGAAGUAUUUCGGUAUGUAAAGCUCUAUCAGCAGGGAAGAUAAUGACGGUACCUGACUAAGAAGCACCGGCUAAAUACGUG